AACGAACGCUGGCGGCAUGCUUAACACAUGCAAGUCGAACGAACCCUUUCGGGGUUAGUGGCGCACGGGUGCGUAACGCGUGGGAAUCUGCCCUUUGCUUCGGAAUAACAGUUAGAAAUGACUGCUAAUACCGGAUGAUGUCUUCGGACCAAAGAUUUAUCGGCAAAGGAUGAGCCCGCGUAGGAUUAGGUAGUUGGUGGGGUAAAGGCCUACCAAGCCGACGAUCCUUAGCUGGUCUGAGAGGAUGAUCAGCCACACUGGGAUGAGACACGGCCCAGACUCCUACGGGAGGCAGCAGUGGGGAAU
rnacentral:rRNA from 1 species